AGAGAGAGAGAGAGAGAGAGAGAGAGAGAGAGAGACUCCGACCUCAGCUCUGACAUUUUAAACCUUUAACUCGAACAGACCCUCGACCCUCAGGAAACAGCGCCACCUACUCUCUUCUCUUCCUGCAGCCGUGGAUGAGCAGCACGCGUGCGUCGUUAUGUUAGAAACGGAGUCGGGACAAACACUGGACCAGUCGACUGCGAUGCCUUCAAACAAGUACCCUGCUGCUAACAUGGAGGAGAGCAACAACAUGGCUGCUACUGUGAGUCACACACACACACACACACACACACACACACACACACACA